CUAUUGAAAGAAAAGUUGAUAAUUUUUUCACACUAUAAUACAUACUGUAAAAUUCAGUUUUUUUUACAUGUCUCCCCUUUUAAUUUCCUGUAAAAGAAUGAUGUCACACAAAAAAAGCUAAAUACUGUUCACUGCAAUUUUGAAGUAAAAUGUUUGCUCUAUGUUGGUGGUCUAAUCCAUUUUACCCUUGUUGAACACAGCAACCUUUGGAACAUUUAUGAAGUGGAUAUGAAUUGCAAGUUUGUGUAGGGACAAUCAGCCUCAUAUCCAUCUAUACCAAUUACACUUUCAAUAUUAUUCUAAUCAUCCAUCUCCUAAAUCUACUAAUCCAUUAAAACCAAGUAAGCCAGAUCAAUUAACUUACGAAUGUAUUCAACUUUAUAAAGAAAAACUAUUUUUCUUCUUUGAAUACAUAACAUAAAUAUAAGAUUUUUUCAGCUGUUAAAAUUGUGUACUUGUUAUACAUACAUGUACAAUCAUCCCAUGCAUAGUUGUUUUUGUUGCUUAUUUAUUUAUUGCCAUGUUGUAAGACUGCAAACCUUUAAAGUCUGUGCAUUUUUUAUCAUUAAACGUCAAUACAAUUCCCCUAUAUAAAUGAUAUAUGGAAAGAUACAGGCUACUAUGUAUGGAAUGGGCAUAGACUUCAAUACUUGUUUGUAUUAAAUUGUGCUAGUAACACAUAUUCUUUUUGAAAAUAUUUAUAUUCAUG
rnacentral:lncRNA from 1 species